AAAUUAUUUCCCUCUCACCAGGCAGCAUGAUCGAGGAAGCAAAAUUGAAAAUUUUCAAGUGGCAUUCAGACAACAGAUAUGAAAAACCAUUGUCUGAGCCUUUGAGGGGCUUGUCCAUGAAUUAAACGAGGGCUUCUUAAUGCUAUUCAAAACCACGCCACCUAGCCUAUACGUCAUUUUGGGAACGAAAGAAUUGACAAAACCCAACCUUAUCUCCUUGAGAAACCCCUUCUUCGACAGACCUCGAGUCCUCGACCCUCUCCCUCUCUCUUCUUCGACACAACUCUCCCUCCCUCUUCUUGACAAGCCCCAACCUUAUCUCCUCCACAGACCCCGACCUAUCUUUUCUCUGACAAGCCCCAACAAAAGCUCUCCCUCUUCGACAAACCCCGACCAAAACCAUCUCUGCCUCUAGCUAGGUUAUUCAAUUUGGGAAAUAGGGAAGGGAAGAAAACUUAAUGGGUAGCCUCUAGGAAGUCUCAGAGCACCAAAGGGAGAGAAAGAGAGCGAUUUUUCGUUUCUAGGGUUUACUCUGCGCCAUCAAUGCGAGUUCCAAAGAUGCAGAAGCUACGGUUUCCGAGAAUGAGGAUUGAGGAGCUUGGAUCAGUUCAAGUCCCUCUCCAAAUCGGUCUCAGGAGGACCUCCAAAAGACCUUCGCCUACUCUUCACGUCCGCCGGAGUCGAGCUUGUUGGGAUGCUUGGCGAAUUUGAAGCUCACCGCAGAGAAAUUGAUGAAGGAGCAAGCUUCUGUGAAAACAGAUCUGGAAAUGGCAGUACUCUCUCUAUCUAUAUCUUCUGUACAAUGAGCCUGUGAUUUGCGAGUGUGAAUUGUUAGGGUUUGGUUCAAUUUCAUGCCAAUGUAGAUGUUUGUUGUCUCUUACUUGAAGUUCAAAGGCAUAUGAACGAGUAAUUUACUGAUAAAUGCAGAACACUAAGCUGAAAAAAUUGGUUUAAUUAGUUAGAUUCGUAGUUAAAAGGUAGAAGGUUUGUAGGUUUCUUAAAAAAUGGUGGGGAAGAUCAUAUUUUCUUUGCUACUUAUCAGAAUUAAAACUAAAAGUCUAGAACAUGUGAUAUGUUCUUCGCUAUGAAGCAUUUGCUUUCUUUGUUUUCAGUUGUAGAAAUUUUCAUAUGUGAUCUUUCUAAGGGCAAUAUGAGCUUUCAAAUGAUGUUGUACAGAUAUAAUAGAUGAAGUGAUCGUGCUGUAGUCUACACUUUUCACUAUAAGCAGAGUUUUCUUAAUGCUACAUUUUGUUUUGGUGAUGGAUGUAUGAUUGCUGCCUAGCUAUUUCAUUUAAAAGACAAUUUUUUUUUUAUUCUUUGGAUGCAUUUUAUGAUAGUAAGUCUUCUACAUACAAAUUAGAAUGGAUGAAAUAGCAGUGAUAUAGUCUGCACUAUAUCAACUAAUUUUAGGUGAGAUCUCUAUGGAAAUUGGGUGGGAAUACUAUUUAGAUUCCUUAUUAACACUGCAAAAUAACUUUCAUAUGUACAGGUUGUGGUGGCUGAUUUGGAAACAGAUAUCAUUGUUACUGAUAGAGAUACGUUUUUUUCCCUGAAAUUCUGCUGCUUUCAUGUUGGUGAUCAAGAACAUCAAAGUCAGAAGAGAGUAUUUUUGGUGUACAAAGUGGUGAUCAUUCCGCCAACCACAAGCUUUUGAGUGCAGACAAAGUCAUGUGAAUCUUUCUUCCAUCUGGAAAAUGUUUCAAUUAUUCCUUGAGCAGUUGCAUAGUGUUCUUCAAGAAAAUGAAGAAUCCAUUAGCCUAUCUUGAAAAGCAAAAGGAGCUGCUUUACCAGAAGGAUAUUUGUCUUGCAAAGUAAUACUUUCCAAUCCAAAAGUUUGUAAUAUUCAGUCAAGCAGUUUCCCACCAGAAAUCAUAACUUAUGACCAGUGGGUACAAAUGAAACCAGAACCAAAAAGUAUAUUUUCUGGUUGGAUGAAGGGUCAUUCCGUGGUGGAAAGAAAGAGAUGCAAGAACCUAUUCAUCAGAAGCUUGAUUUCAUUCUUAAUACAGCACCAAUGUGGGACAGGGAGAAGUGGAAAACCUAUCUUUAAAAAGCACAUUUCUGGCCAAGUUUGUCGUGGUGGUUUUGUUCUAAAAACAAUGAUCCAGGUUUGAAGGCUGCUUAUAAACUGGACAAUCAUGUGGAAGAUGGAGCAGUGACGAAAGCUUUUGAAGUGAUAGAGAGAAAUUUGUUUAGCUAGAAGUUGGUCUUUUUUGGGUUGGCCUUAAUUGCAGUUCUCCUAUAGAUGUGAUUGUGUGACAUUUUUAGGUACAUUUCUGGAUGUAUUUUGCUAUAAGAGUUUCAAAGAUGUGAUCCCUUAUUUUGUGGAUACAAUUAGCAUUAUCGGAUCCAUUUAGAUUGCUAUGGGAUUAUAACAGCUUUCUAUUAUGAUUAAAUUACUAUUCUUUUGGUCA